CUCUUAUCCAGAGUGGUGGAGGGACAUGGACCCUUUGAAGCCCAGCAACCCUUAACAUACUGUUAAGUAAGGUGCCAAACCGUUUGCAGAUUAAUUUCUGAACGAUAAGAG
rnacentral:ncRNA from 2 species